AAUUUUAUAGUUUAUUUAAAAUUUUAAAUUGCAAAUUUAAAGAUGGAUCUUCCUAAAAUUU
rnacentral:tRNA from 1 species